AAAAGAGAGAUCCAACGGUGGCUAAGUUGGUUCUAUCAGAAAAGGAAACAUAUGCAGGUAUUUCACGUGACAGUCACGGACCAAUAUAGUUCAGAAAAGCAUGCACCUGGAAUAUACGGCUUAAUAAUGCGUGGGUAGGUUUAUGGGAAAUAUUAUAUCUUUUUUGGUUAGAAAAUAUGUUGCUAGAUGUGGCAAAAAUAAGGAGGCGGAGGCAAUUUCACCCAAUGUCCACUGUAGAUUUGGUAAUUUUUUAAAUUCAACAUGCAAAUCAGAAAACAACAAACUUUUAAUGUGUCAAUUUUAGGGGGCACAACCUCUACAUUGCCCUUUUGUAUCCUCCUUUUAUAUAUAACUAGAUUUUAAUUAUAUGAAAUAAGAA